AUUUUAAGAGUUUACAUUAAUGUAGUUAUUCUAUCCGGAAUAAUUUUAUUUAUAAAGCAAAACCAUAAUUCAAACCUGCUUUCCAUUUCAAGACCUCUGCCUCAUCGCUGGACCACUGUGUGCUGUCAAGGUAAAUGAUGUUUUCCUACAGCAGGGAGUAGAGCGCAUAAAGA